rnacentral:lncRNA from 1 species
AGGAGCUCCGAUUGAAAGAAGAGGAGUCAUCAGUGGACGAAGCAGAGGAUUUCGCAAUGGGGUUCGCUUGGUGGUGGACCUGCAAGUUAUAAAGCGAGUGAGGUCAGGAGUAGAAAGGUUGUAUUUUAGCAGUGGACCUGCAAGUGGCCAUUUGGGAGGAAGCAGGUGAGGUCAGGAGUAGAAGAAACUGUUAUGGGUAUUUUAGUCUUUUAAUUAAAAUUAACGGUG